rnacentral:snRNA from 14 species
AUACUUACCUGGCGCGGGGGAUACCGUGAUCAAGAAGGCGGUGCCUCCAGGACGAGGCCUGUACAUUGCACUCCGUAUGGGCUGACUCCUGCGACUACCCAAAAUCGGGGUGGCUCGAGCGCAUAAUUUUUGGUAGUGGGGACAAGCGUUCGCGCUGUCCCUUU